rnacentral:tRNA from 1 species
GGCCCCGUCGUCUAGUGGUCUAGGACACCGGCCUUUCACGCCGGCAACACGGGUUCGAGUCCCGUCGGGGUCA